AGAGGAGACCACUUUUCUAGAAAGAAAUAUACUUUGAGAUUCAAUGAUACCCUUAUCCGUUAAGAAAAAAAAAAACCCUAAGCAACGUCUCCCAUGAAGAAAACUACAAAAAAAAUGAAAUCAUUAUUUUAUUAUGUAUUGAAAAGAAAACUUGUAUGCAUCCAUGUAAUAAAUUCCUACAUGGCUUAGCUACCGGAAUAUCCACAGCUCUUCAUGAUUUUUGUUGUAUUACGAUGCUUCAACUCUUUUUCAUGCUCUACCAUAAACUCAAGCAACACGGUCGAUUUUGAAUCAGAUUGUCAUUUUGUGUCCCCAAAUCCACCAAAAUCUGAAGCUUUUUAAAUCAUAUGAUGUUGGGAUAUAUAUGAAGCAGAUUAGAAAUGCUGAAUUCGACGCAUCAAUCAAAUCAAGGUUGAUCGACCGCCUUUUCUUCAUCGGAGGAGAGCUAGGUCUUUGACUGUCGAUGCCGACUAAUCCGAGAGUUGUGAAAGCCUUUAGGGCUAUGAAGGCGCUUGGAAUAAGCGAAAAGCAAGUUAAACCUGUGUUGAAAAAGAUGCUAAAACUGUAUGAGAAAAAUUGGGAGCUUAUUGAAGAGGAAAAUUAUAGAGCUCUUGCGGAUGCCAUUUUUGAUGAGGAGGAGUCUAAGGUUCCUGACGAGAAUGAUGAUGCUACUGAGGGAACUUUUGAGGAAAAAACUCGGAUUUCUAAUGAACCUGAGCGGCCGUUCAAAAGGUUGCGUAGAGGCCAAGAUGGGCAAGGUUCCUCCCCGCCUAACAACAGCGACCUACUGUUGGCUGGAAGUCCUUUAAGAAAGCCUAAAGUGGAGGGGAAAGUGCUGCCUGGUGCAAAAUCCCUACAGCAGUCUCUGGAAAUGAGAAAUUCACAACCCAGGCCUAUUUCACUUCAGAAUCCUGCUGGAAACAUGAGCUCACAAACUAUUUCUCCUGGUUGCUUGGCGGUGCAGGAACACUCUAGUCAGUCUGAUUUAUCUGAUAUGGAUGGAACAUUGUUGUCUGAUUCACUUUUUUCAUGGAAGCAGCGAUCAUACAAGGGAAAAGAACCUAUAUUACCUGAGGCUGCUCCACAAGAGAAAAGACCUAAUUUAAAAGGAUCAUUGCAAGCAGUGCACAUCAAGGACCCCGUAGUUCAGCCAAGCGCUUUUCUCUCACCCAAACAGAAAGUGCCUCAUUCUCGUGCUCUGAUCAAGCCUAAAGACGAGCCAUUUACUGGUGACAUGCCUUUUGAAGACGCUAGGCAACCUAUUGCAAUUAUCCGACCAGAUUCUGCAAGCAAAGAACAAUCUCUUAUUCAAAGAGUUUCUUCAUGCAAACAGCAUCAUCAAGAACCUCAAGCAUCCCAAUUUUUAGCUGGAGAAGAUAUGGAAGAUAAUGUUCCAGUUUCAUCAAGUCCGGCAAGAGAUAGCUGUGAACUUGCAACCAUUCCAGAAGACUCUCUGGCUAGCUUAGAGAUUGCCACCUCAGCUCUGGGAGAGGUGAAGAUUUCUCUGAGCUGCAACUCUUUGCUUGGAAGACCAAAUUUUCAUAUGCCUAGUCAAGAUGAACUUCUGAAAUCAAUGCAGGAGAAAUGUCUCCGAACUUACAAAAUCAUCGAUCCAAACUUUUCUGUCAUGCAAAUACUGAAAGAUAUGUGUGAAUGCUUCUUGGAUUUGGCAACUGAUUCCUCUCAUGAACAUGAAUCGCAGGAAAGGAUUGUGAAUGUAACACCAGCUCUUGAUCUAUUGAAGAAAUCUGUUGGUGAUGGUGGCAUGAUGAAAGAAAAUAACCAUGUACCAGCCUAUGUUGCAAGGGGAUCAGUUGAUGCUCGUCACUUCGAUGAGGUGGCUGCUUUUAAAAUUCCAAGACCACUACAACCUCCGAAUGUUUUGGAGGCUGUGCAGGUGAGUGAAGAGGCUAUUGAAAAUGGCUGUUCUGGAAGUGGCAAAUUAAAUGAAUUUGGAGAUGCUGAGUUUGGUAGUUUGAUUGUGGUUCCACAGAGUCAACUGACUCCUGAUGAGUUUAGGUCCCUUCAUUAUCGAACUGACAUCACUAAGGGAGAGGAAAUGGUUGAGAUUCCAUGGUUGAACGAAGUAAACACAGAUUUUCCUCCAUUUUUUAACUACAUACCCCAGAAUCUGAUUUUUCAGAAUGCUUAUGUCAACUUCACUCUCUCUCAAAUUAGGGCUGAAAAUUGCUGCUUGGCUUGUAUUGGUAAUUGUUUGUUGUCAUCUACACCUUGUGUUUGCUCCAGUGACACUGAGCAUGGUUUUGCAUACACUUUAGAAGGCCUUGUCAAGGAGGAUUUCUUACAAGAUUGUAUCUCUCUGACUCGGGAUCCUCAGCGACAAUGCCUUUCUUAUUGUAGAGAUUGCCCACUGGAAAGAUCAAAAAACGAUGAGAUAUUGGAACCAUGCAAGGGUCACGUGAAGAGAAAAUAUAUAGAAGAAUGUUGGAGCAAAUGUGGCUGCCACAAACAAUGUGGAAACAGAGUCGUGCAGCGAGGUAUAAGGUGCAAGUUGCAGGUUUUCUUUACCCCUGAAGGAAAGGGGUGGGGUCUCAGAACUCUGGAAUUGCUACCAAAAGGUACAUUUGUAUGCGAGUAUGUAGGGGAGAUACUAACCAACAAAGAGUUCUAUGAGAGGAAGAUGCAAAGGACAAGUAGCAGCAGGACUGAGAAGCAUGCCUAUCCUGUUCUACUUGAUGCAGAUUGGUGCUUGAAAGGAGUUGUAAAGGAUGAAGAAGCUCUGUGUUUGGAUGCGACAUUUUAUGGAAAUAUUGCUAGGUUUAUCAAUCACAGAUGUCUUGAUGCAAAUAUGAUUGAAAUCCCCGUGAAGAUCGAGACCCCUGAUCAUCAUUAUUAUCAUCUUGCUUUCUUCACAACAAGAGAAGUGAAUGCCUUAGAAGAGUUAACAUGGGAUUAUGGUAUUGAUUUUGAUGAUACUGAUCAACCUGUGGAGGUAUUCCCAUGCCGAUGUGGCAGUAAGUUCUGCAGGAACAUGAAACGUUCAAAUAGAUCUAAUUCAGCAGCAAGCUGAUCAGAUGGGCAGAUUAUGAGACGGCCUCAUUCUUCCACAAUCCCAUCCAUGACGAGAUUUUGAAGUGGAUUUGCGCAGUUUUUCUUGGUCCUGCUGGCGAUCUUGUCGAAGUCAUAUGAUGUUAUUUUGUCAAGCUGGAUGGUUAAUUGGCAGUGGGUCGUGCAUGGCCCUAAAAAUGUGUUUAUGAUGUAUUGAUUGCAUAAUCUACCAUCCCAGUAUUGAAUUUUGUGUCUAAAUCUGGGAUUUCGUGCGGCAGCUCGGCAACAACUGGGUCAUGUUUGUCUGUUUAUUGUACAGGAUUUUGGCUUUGUGAUCUGCCCUCGUUCUGAGUCCUCCAUCAUAUCAGGCAUAAGUCAUUUUUAUCCGCUUUUGAUUGCUCCCCAUCGAAGUUGGGCAUCAUGGUUUGGCCACAGGCUGCUAUUUGCUGGAGAGAGAGAUUCCAUACAAGUGCAACGCGGUAUGGCUUGUUUUUGCACAAGCUGCUGCUGCUAUGCGCUAAUCCUAUGCUAGGCACCAUCCAUGACCUAGUAUGGAGAUGCCCCUAUGAGUGCUUGGAAACCAACGAUCAAUUCCUUUGAAAUGGCAACAUGAUGGCAUUUGAAGUAAAAUGAGGAGAUCACUGUGUGAUUUCCUAGCAGAUUAUUAGUAAGCAGUUGAAAACCUUAGAAAGGUCAUCCUCUGGAAUGCAUCCUAGCAUUCUUCGACCAUGCAAGGAAGCCCUUUGAACUAUUUAACCAAGAACAUGCCAGGAUUCUAUGGAGUGAUUGUUGCUGUCCUGUUGCCAGCUCGAAAUCUAUGGCGAGGAUGGGCAGAUUGGCCGCCUUCUUUUAAGCUGUUUGGUUGCAAAGAACAACAGGGCAAUGAGGGCAUUAAAAUUGUGAAAGUAGCAUGUUGUGCGAGCAGAUUUUAUUGUCUUUGAACGUCCGAAUGAGGCAUCCAUGCAAUUCAGGGGCAUUCACCGCAUGUCAGCCAUACACAGGUUGACAUUAAUCUUGCAUCACAGACAGUCAGGUUCGUCAUUAAAUAAAGCAUCAUCCACUUGCAUAUGAAGAUAAGG